rnacentral:lncRNA from 1 species
GGCCUGUUGGUUAUUUUUUCUUUUGUUAUUGUUUUUUUUCUCUUUUCAUAUGUUUAUCAUUAUGAGAUUAUGCAAGCAAAUAGAAGGGAUAAAUGCAUCAAUGAAACUUCUUAUAUUUCCUCCAAUGUUUAUUUAUACCAAUGUUAUAUUCCAAUUAAUCAAUUGUAAAUGUGAUUUAUAUUAACUGGCAUGCUUAAUAAUCUCAAAGUAGAAAAGGAUGUUCAGAUAUCAAAAGAAAUGUAAAGUGUUUAUUUACUCAUUUAUUUAUUUUUGUUGUUAAAAAUAUUUUAUCUAUUAACUAAUAACAAUGAUAGGCUGUGUUUCAAACAGUGAUGAUAUGUUGGUAGUGAAUUAUUAUAUAGGAAAGAUAUAUAUUGCUUUGAGAAUCAGAAACAAAACUUUUUUUUCUCAGUAAUACAUUAAACCAACUUAUUUUUGCGGAUACUUUAUUUUCGCGUUUUACCCUUUCUUCACUUCGCGGCUAUUUAAUUAUGCGAUUUUCUAAAUUACUUGAUAUAGUUUAGUAAGAAAGUAUCAAAGCUUUACAUAUUCACGACGAUUUAUAUUCGCCUUUUUUUUCUACUCGCAAAGUCGCAAAAAUAAAUCGCUAGCGAAGAUAAGUUGGUUUACAGUAAACUUGUCUAUUACAUAAUGAGUAUUAUAGCCUCUUCAACUCCUUAGUCAAAGUUGACCCAAUAUGACUUAUGCUAUUACUUGUAGGUCUCUUUUGGUUAUAUAGCUCCUAACAUUUGGAUGCAUCAGAAUUUGUAAAGUGUUAUUAUCUUUUACUAACAAUUGGAUGAUAUAAAUGCUGGUAGACGGUUAUACCAAAGAAGGUAUUCAGUGUUUUGUACUGAAAUGAUUUACAACAUUCUAUUCUAAUUUUCUUUGGUAAUAUAAGAUGUUAUAAGGAAACUAAGGUUAAAACUCCCAAAGACAAAUUUGACUACAGAGGAAUUAGCUACUUUUAGGUCGCUAUUUGUCAAAUAGAUCACCAUGUUUUUACCUAUUUACACAUUCCAUGCUUUCAAAUGCUAAGCUUCAAACAUUCUGUAAAGCCAGCAAAGCUCUUUGAAUACACACAAAUUUAUAAAAAGUAAUUUUCAAUCAGUUGAAAAAUAUAAAUAAAAUUGUCACUGAAAAUAUAACAGAUUUGACAGCCAUGACAAUCAGUUUAGAAUAGGUAUGUUUCACUGCAACCUGUAUAUUUUAUAGUUUCUUGGACCAAACCAAUGUAUAGAAAGAAUGUGACAUUUAAUGUUGUUCUACUUAGUGUAAUGGCAUAACUUGAAAUACAAUAGCUGAUAGAUUUACAAUUAAUUCUGUAAUUUUAAUUAUAAAUACAAAAUGUUACCCACUGCCAUUGUAUUCCCCUGGUAGCAUACUUGUAUCUUGUACAGGAGGUUAAAAUGCCUGUUGGGUCAAACAGAAUUUUAUAUUGGUAUUUGCUGCUUCUUUGCCAAGCACAUAUGAAUUAGGAGAGCAAUAACUAUUCAACUUUUGGUAUUUAAGAUCCCAUGUUGCAGAGUGAUGGCUUAUAAAUCAUACUCAGCACAUCAGUUUAGUACAAGGCAGGGUAUGUUGAAUGACAUUGAUAUGUUUUUAUCCUUAAUAUUCAUAUAAUAUUUUCCACUGGUUGCUUAGGAGCUCUAAUAAAUCAAAUUUAAAAGAAAGUAGCCCUAUUCUUUUUUAGAAGUAGUUAUAGUAUUCAUUAUGACUUUUUUGGAAGAUAAUUCUUAUAUUGAUACUGGUAAACUAAAAGGACAGCUGCAGUCUCAUUUAUUUAUAAAUGUGAAUCAUUCAUAGACAUGUAUCAUUGGUGGGAGACAUGAUCGUACAUCUGUAGUAUUUCAUUUAGUCUUCAUUAUGCUAAAAUCAUUUAUGCUUUAUUUAAAUAAUUUGCAAUAAUUUUAUAUUACAAGUUAAAUUUUAUAUUUGACCAGUUUUACAUUAAUAAAACCAUGCAUGUUGCAACCAAAAUCAUUUAACCAGUUAGGUAUUGAAAGCAUUAUUUCAUAGGUGAUAUACCUGGUACCUUGAUUCAAGUGAAUUCUACAACCUAAAGGGCACGUUUCAACUGCUGUCCUCUAUUCAAUGAGACUCCAUACAAGAAUUUUGGUUUUUUAGCAUGUAUGGUUAAAGAUAUAAUGUAUUAUAUUUUAGUCCAAUCAAAUGUCCAAUUUUUCUAAAUUUGGGUUAUUUUAGGCUUACUUUACUUCAACAUUUUAAUUGAGGUUUGUAGCUGUAUUCUUAAAAUUAUUUUAAAAAAUAUUCUGUUUUGAUGAUUAAGCAGUUAAUCUAGAAAUGGAUUGUCGCAACAAUAAAAAUGACACAAAAAAUAAUGAAUUUUAGAUGCACUUAUUACUGAAUAAGAUAUUUUGUUUAAAAAAUUACUGACCAAACCUGAAAAUGUCUUAUAAAUUAAACAAUGAUACAAAUUCGUGGUUGCCAUCACUGACAAAAUACAGGCAAAUGACUAGUAAACUAGUUUCCCUAAUAAGAAUUUGUACCAGUUUUAGAAAUGAAAAUUUGCUCAGAAUGAUGAUCUAAUGUAAAGAGUCACAGAUCACUGUUGAAUUUACAAAUUUUGAAUAAAAAUAGUUAUGCCAAGACUAUUUUCCGCACAAAAUACACUUUAAUGCCCUUUACUCCCAGGAUUGAAUAAUUUAAUGUAUGUCACUUUCUCAGGUGUUGAAAAAAUAUCAGGGAUGUUUAAGAAUCAAAUUAAGUUUUCUUUUUAUAUAUUUUUUGUUUGUGCUAAAUGAAUGCAUUUUUUCCAUCUCUUUGGCAAUUUAUAUUCAUCAUUAAAUCCCUUUUCAAGAAAUGCAUCUUCCUUGUUGUUAAUACGCCGUUGGAUGACAGGCUAACACAUCUAGACAAAGCCAGAUAAAAAGUCAAUUCAGAGAUAACAGUUUUUAUGAUGUCUGAUAAAUAUCCCUGGAAAUCAGAUAUAUGCAUUCUUAACUUGAGGUGGGGUGGAUGGCAUGAAUUGUUUGAUUUAAAACUGAACAUUUAAAACAUGUAUUAGUAGUCUGCAACCUUGUUAUCUUGCUUCAGUGACUUGAUAAAGUUUAUUCAUAUUCUUAUGACUAGUUUAUCUGUACAGUUUCUUUAAGUGUAAAUUCAACUAUAUUUGGUCUAUAUUUGAUGUGUAGGGUCUCCUUCUUUUCUCUAUUUAAUCAUUUAUAUGUUAAUUUAUGAUUUGACAUGGAUCACCUAGCCUGACAUUAUUUAUAUGAUACAUUGAGUAUGGUGAUGUGUAUAGCUUUAAUGUAUUUAUUAAAUGAAAGUUUGAAUAUCUGUAGUAUGUUCUAUAAUUGCGAUGAUGCUUGUAGUUCAACCAAUUUUAACCAUGCAGGUGAGAUGUAUGUUUCUAUGUGUGUUAUGUUGUUUGUGAUCCCUGUUUAAAGUGAAAAUUUAAAUCUUAAGUUGUAAUAUGAAUUUAAGGUACCUGCUGUUUUGUUUUGUUUUUCAUGAAUAUAAGUAUUGAGCUGAGACAUAAUUGUGUAUGAAUUGAUACAUGAAACUAUGGAUCACCUGACCUUUUACAUUGUAUAAAGUUAUGACAAAUACUAUUUUUUUUAUAAAAUAAUAGCUAUUCAACGAUAUGUUCUCUAUUUUAAAAAUAAAUAAAUAUUUAUUGGAGAAAAUUUAUUAAGAAAAGAGAGGCUUCCUAUAACCUGAAAAUGCAUGAAAGGUGUGUGGCAAAUAGAUACAAGAUAUACAUUCAGUUUUAAAAAAAACCUAAACAUUGAUUUUUUGUAAAGCAAAACAUAAUUUUCUAUUGCCGAAGGUCCUUGACUUCUUCAGAAAAAAAUUCUUGAAAAAGUAUUUCUCAUUUCCUUUUUUCUAGCUUUUCAAAUCUCUUUUUCAAAUGUGUAACUUAUUUAACAUUCGUUUUAUUGAUCUGAUAAAAAAGCCAAUGAUAGUGAUCCGUCAUCACCUGAUAUGUAUCAGAAUUGCACUCCUACAAAAUAUUAAUUAUCCUGAUACAAAUGGCAGCACAACUGACCUGCAAGAUCAUAAUUGUGAUAUCAAUUUUGUAACAAGGGAGACUGUUAUACCUAGUAAUCCUUUGGCAGUUCCUUUGGUUCAAAUUAUUUUGGCACCCUUUGAGUUUCUUUUUUUGUGUGUCUUCAAUAUGUAUUGAUUUUUUAAGCAUAACUUGAAUAUUUACACUUGUUCAUUUCUAUUAUUUUUUGUUAUAAAUUUGUGGUUCAUAUAACAUGUAUUCCAUCAAAUAUUUUGUUUGUCAUGGCAAAGAUAAAACCAAAAUAUAUAAAUUUGAAAAUAAAUGUGUUUUUGAUCUUUUAUUAUUUAUUUAGAUUUGCAUAUGUUUUUGAUGUAAGAAUUCAAUAUAUGGCAGUAAAAAUAUAUUAUUCUAUGAAAACAAAAUAGAUUUGUGUAUAUAUACAAUUUGUUUACAGAUUGCCAAAACCCUUGUUUUUUCAAGAUUCAAGAUUCAAAGUUUUAUUUAGAGUCGAUAUUCAAUAAACUACAUAAACACAAGCUCUAGUGAGCUUUUCAAAUCGACUUUUAAUAACAAAGUACAAUACACACACACAAUACAAUACACUACACACAUACAAAAGUCAUGAAAACAGCACAAUCUUAAACAAAAUGCAUAGUAUUAAAUAGUAAGAUACCAUAAAUGACAUAUAUAACUUAAAAGCAUAGUACACUUAAAACAUAGUACAAGUUAAUAUAAGAUUGCACAAAUCAUAUAGUCACACAAAAAAUAAAAGUAAAAUAAAACAGGCAUAAACACUAUAUGCAUGCUAUUGCACUGCACUGGCAUGAGCUGUUACUUGGAUCCCAUGUUUGUACCAAUCUUUUUGAAUUGGUCAAAAGAUGUUCCCAUUCGACAAUGGUUCGGUAGCUCAUUCCAGAUUUGUGCAGCAUUAUAACGAAACGAUCUUAAACCAUAUUUAGUAGUUCGAACUCUUGGGAGUACUGCUGUUUCCUGUGAUCUUCAAUCAUACUUGUUAAUUUUUAUAUCAAUAAAUCAUGAAGGUAGCUCUGACUUUUUUUGUGAAUUAUUUUAAAUGUUUUAUUGUAAUUGUUUAUAUUCUUCUUAUUUUUAAAGAUAGUAAGUUUUCUAGCAGUUUUUCGUAAGGACUACACAUAAUCUUCAUAAAUGAAUCUUAGAGCUCUUUCUUGAUUUUUUUCCAUUUUAAAAGAACUUUUGUCACUACAGUAGUGCCAAAUUACUGGACAAUAGUUAAAAUUCGAAAGAAUAAAUGAGUAGUAUGCUGUUAACCUACCUAGCCUGUUUUAAAUAUUUACCCAUACGUUUUAGAAUAUUUAAUUGUCUUGAUGCCUUUUUACAUAUUUCAGAUAUAUGAUUGUUAAAGUUUAAGUUAUUCAAAGAAGUUUAACAUUUUCUUCACGAGAAAUUCUGUUUCCAUUUUUUGAAAAUUUAAUAUCAAAUUUUGUUUAUUUGGUUUUUUUCCAAUGUCUAUAGCCUGGAAUUGUCAGGAUUAGCCUUCAUUACAUUUAUAGAAAACCAGUUUAUUAGAUUUAAACUAUUAGUUUCUAAACUUUCAACAACUUUAUCUAAAUUAUGAUCACUAUAUGAUACAGUUUUGUCAUCAGCAUAAUUAUAAAUGGUGCUUUUUUUUAACAAAAUGAAUAUAUGUCAUUUAUGAAGACAUUGAAAAGAACUGGACCAAGAAUUGACCCUUGUGGUACGCCUUUAAACAUACGAUCCAUUUCACUGUAAGAUAAGAAUAAGAACUUCCAAUUUUAAUGCGUAGUUUUCUGUUUUCUAAAUAGCUUUUUAAUAAUUUUAGAGAAUUUUGAGACAGACUGUAUGCUUCCAAUUUAAGUAAAAGUAAAUCGUGCGGUAGACAAUCAAAUGCUUUAGAUAGAUCCAUCAAAAUUGCAGCAAUAAAUUUGUUCUCGUCCAGAGCUUUUUUCCAGUAUUCUAUUAUUUAAGUGCAGUUUGGCAACCAAAACCUGACUAAAUGCCGAAAGCCGAUGAAAAAAAUAAAAAGAGGAUGACAAUGUUUGUUUAAGAAUUCCAUUAGUUGGUCAUGUGUAGCUCUUUCAUAAAUUUUGGAAAUACAUGGUAACACACUUACAGGUCUAUAGUUUUCUUUAUCAAGAGAGUUAUUCUUUUUUAAAAGUGGGGAAUCCAGAGCAGCUUUAAGAUUAUCAGGGACAAUUUAGCUUUCAAUUGAUUUAUUAACUAAAAUUUUAAUAGGAUUUGAUAUUACUGCCUGUGCCAAUUUUAUAAUUUUUGGUGAAAUAUUGUUAUAUCCAGUGGCUUUUCUUAUAUUUAACUUAUUUAUUUGUUUACCCACAAACUCUUCUGUUACAGGUUUAAAAUUCAACUCAUUAUAAUCAUUUUUAUUUUCUUCAACUUUUAUUAUACUUGUGUGAUUUCUGGCUAUUUUAAUGUUUUUAUCUCCUAUACCUUUAGCCACAUUCAUGAAAAAUUUAGUGAAAAUUUCUGAUACCUCUUUAGAAUCACUGAGCAUUUUAUCAUUUUCAUAUAAAAUUAUGUUAUUGUUUGAUUUAAUGUUUUUAUUUGAUAAAAAUGGUUCAAUAGUGGAAUAAUAUGUUGUUGAUUUUGGACCACCAGUGUUCAGAUCUACAACAGUGAUAUAAGAUAACUACUUUUACAUCAAUACUAGGUAUGUUAUUAUACAAUUACUAGUCCAAAAUUCAAAUAUAGAAAAAUAUUCAACAGGUGACCAAGCUAAACAAGAAUUUCUGUUUUAUUUUAUUUAAUUUAUUAUACCCCCGCUUUAAAAAAAAGGGGGGUAUACUGUUUUACCUCUGUCUGUCAGUCCGUCCGUCAGUCAGUCCGUCCCAUGAAACUUUCGUCACAUUUUUCUCAGGAACUACACAUCCACCCUUUCUGUAAUUUGGUAUCAACAUUAAUAUAUGUUAGCCAUACCGUGUGAUGCGUUUUCAGAUUCAUCACUUGACAACUUCCUGUUUACCGAACACUUGUAUGAUUUUACACAUGAUAGCCAAGUUGAAAAUUUUCGUCACAUUUUUCUCAGGAACUACACAUCCACCCUUUCUGUAAUUUGGUAUCAACAUUUAUAUAUGUUAGCCAUACCGUGUGAUGCGUUUUCAGAUUCAUCACUUGACAACUUCCUGUUUACCGAACACUUGUAUGAUUUUACACAUGAUAGCCAAGUUGAAAAUUUUUCGUCACAUUUUUCUCAGCAACUACAAUACAAGGAUUUCUGAAAUUUGGUUUCAGGAUUUAUAUAAGUCAGCUAUACCGUGUGAUGCGUUUUCAGAUUCAUCACUCGACAACUUCCUGUUUACCGAACACUUGUAUGAUUUUACACAUGAUAGCCAAGUUGAAAAUUUUCGUCACAUUUUUCUCAGGAACUACAAUACAAGGAUUUCUGAAAUUUGGUUUCAGGAUUUAUAUAAGUCAGCUAUACCGUGUGAUGCGUUUUCAGAUUCAUCACUUGACAACUUCCUGUUUACCGAACACUUGCAUAUUUUUACACUAUAAAUAUUAUCCACUUGCGGCGGGGUAUCAUCAGUGAGCAGUAGCUCGCAGUUUCACUUGUUUGUUUUUUUUUAUAGCCCCGCAACAAAGUUGUCGGUGCCAUAUAGUUGUACCCUUGUCCGAAAUUCCGCAAUUCCGUAAUUCCGUCAUUCCGUCAUUCCGCAACAAACCAUUAUACACAGUUUUUUUCUAAACGCCUUCAGAUAUUGGGCUGAUUUUUGGUAUGUGAGUUAACCAUGAUGAGUUACAGAACAAGUGUAAGUUUCGUUCCGCUCCACUAAUUUUAGCCGAAAUUACUGGCUUUGGACUUUGAGAAAUUGUUGAAAAUCACAGUUAUACGGAAUUUUGUUCUAAACGCCUUCAGACAUUGAGCUGAUUUUUGGUAUGUGAGUUAACCAUGAUGAUUCACAGAUCAAGUUUAAGUUUCGUUCCGCUCCGCUAAUUUUUGCUGAAAUAUCGGGCUUUGGACUUUGAUAAAUUAUUGAAAAUCACAGGUAUACAGAUUUUCUUUCUCUACGCCUACAGAUUUUGAGCUGAUUUUUAAUAUGUGAGACUACCAUCAUGUUUGUGUCCACAUGUGUUAUUGCAUUCGCAGAUUUUUCAACUUUUUGGGACGGGGCCAUUCGUGUCGCUUUGACACAUCUAGUUUUUUAAUGUUUUGUCAAAUGAACAUUAAGUCUCCAUAUUCUUGUUUCCUUCUUAUGGUCAUAGAGAAGAUCCGAUGUCAAAUUCAGAAAAGAUGUUAAAGACAGUAUUUCUAAUCGGCCAUGCGAAUUAUUGUUGUCACUAGGGGUACAUGGUUGUAAACGUUUUGAAAAAAAUAUUUUCCUUUGAAACCAACAGGCAAAUUUCUAAACAUGGACUGAAUAAUUUUUUUAUGGAAGCUAGUAUGCUUUUGUGUUCCUGUUCAUCUACCAAAAAAAGCCUCCAUGGCCAAAGGAAAACAAAAUUAUUCAAUUGUCUUCUAAUAUCUCAAACAUUAUAAAAGAUACAAAAAAUCUGAGAGUGCAACACUAUUCCGAAUAUCAAGAAAGUUUCUACUUCCCAUUUGCAACAACAUUAUCAUGUUUACCUUUUCAAAGAUAUUGCCCUUCCUGGUUUCUAUGAGGAGUUCAUUUACCCGGCAACUUUUGACAAAUUAUUGUGUUUUUGCGUUUUAUCUAAAAUGCUAUAAUAUAUAUUUAGACACCGAAAACAGCAAAUAUUAUCAACCAGCCUUCAAAAUUGACAAUAUGACUAGAACCAUUGGGUGACACUUUAUUUGAGUUAUUUCACAUGCAUUACUUUUUUUACUAUGAUUGUUCGUGGUUUUUUUGCCUAUUAUCGCGAAACUUGUAAAGAAGAAAAAAAAAAGAAAGACCAAAAUCUAAGAACUAUUCCCUGGCUUAUUACAAUCCUUAGAUUCAUGAUGAAAAUAUUUCUGCAUUUUUUUUUAUUGAAACCUCGUGUAUUUUAAAAGCUCUUUAAUUUUAGUUCGUAUCAGUGAUCAGUGUGUAUAUCAUUUGUCAAAUGUAUAAGCUCUAUAUAUCUUUUGAUUUGUUGGGUUCAUGGUUGUAUAUUUGACGUAUAACUUUUUUGAUUCAUAUUAAACCUGAUUGUCGGUCAGUAUUUGCAAACCAUUAAUUUGUUAUUAUAGGUCAUACAUAAAAUUAAUCAUUUACCUCGCAAAAUUAAGAUAAAAAUUUAGUACAACUUUGACAAUAUUUGAACAAAUGAUUAUCACAACAAUACACCACUUAUUGUCCAUUGUUUGCGUUGAGCGCUACACAUAUACAAUAAAUCGUUUUUGGUCUCAAUAUAAAAGAGGGACGAAAGAUACCAAAGGGACAGUCAAACUCAUAAAUCUAAAACAAACUGACAACAUGGCUAAAAAUGAAAAAGACAAACAGAAAAACAAUAGUACACAUGACACAACAUAGAAAACUAAAGAAUAAACAAAACGAACCCCAUAAGACAUUUUGAGUGCAUUUUCCAUUCUAGCACGGGCUAUUUCGUUUCUGAAAGAUUUGUGAUUAUUCCUGUCUCUUGUCUGAUCGAAUUCAAUUAUCUCUUUUUAUGAAGUUAUUAUUUGAUUGAAUGAUCAAAUUAUGUUCGGAAAGCUAAAAAAAAAAAGAAUGUAUUUUGUUGACAAGUCUGCAACAUUGCAUUAAUUAUAGAACAAAGCCUGCUUUUCACUUCUAUUUAGUGUUUGUCGGCGUGUUAUAAAUAAUUUCAUAAGACAGCUAUGUCGUUUGUAUGAAUAAAGUCUAUAGGUUGUUCAUUCCCGUUUGAUUUGUAAAAAGAUCGCUAUCACCGAACUAUAUAUUGUAAAUGUAGUACUUCCAAAGUGUAGAUAAGCAAUAUCCAUGCUAAAGUACAUGUAAAACAAGGUAUCGACAAAUGUCUUGUAAACGUAUUUAACGAAUCAUAAAGAUAUUACGAGUGUUUGCACUCGAUAAAAUUUGUUAAGGAGGAAAAUUAAAUGACUAAGCGUUGAAAGCAAUGGUGUAGUUAUUUCGAAGUCAAUCGAACAUUUUCGAAAUUCCGUAAAUCUGUAAAUUUGAAAAUGCGAAGACAAAAAAAUAACAGCUUGUAGUUCGGUAUUGCAAUAUCUUAACAAAAAGCAUACAUAUAAAAAAGAAGAUGUGGUAUAAUUGCCAAUAAGACAGCUCUCCACAAGAGACCAAAAUGUCUCAGAAAUUAACAACUAUAGAUCACUGUACGGCCUUCAACAAUGAGCAAAUUCCAUACCGCAUAGUCAGCUAUAAAAGGCCCGGAAAUGACAACGUAAAACAAUUCAAACGAGAAAACUAAUGGCCUUAUUUAUAUAUAUGAAAAAUGAACGAUAAACAAAUAUAUAACACAUAAACAAAUGACAACCACUGAAUUACAGGCUCAUGACUUGAGACAGGCACAUGCAUACAGAAUGAGGCGGGAUCCCAACCAAUAUAAUUGGUGUGUCGCCUUAUCAUAAAAAAUGCGAUUUUAUUAUACUUUAUGUGCAUGUAUUGAUAUUUAGCAUGUAAUGUAUCAUUUAAUUGUAUUCAAAAUUCUAACAAAGAACCAUUGCACAUUAUUUUUUCAAUUCCUGUGAUAUAAAGGGCAUAGUUCGACAGACAAAUAAACUAUGAAAACAAAUGUAAUUUCCGAACUGUUACUUUUUAAAGCUUAGUUUUAGUCUUCAAUUAUUUAUUUAUUUCCAUUAAGUUUUUUGCGGAUUUCAAAUUUGUUACCUGGUCAAAAUUAAUGUUUUUGCAUAACGUCAAUUAAAGAUGAAACACCGUGAUCUUAUUUGUAUUGACCAAAGUGUCGCAAAUAAAUAAUUUUCGCUUUUGACACAUACUACAUUACAAAAUAGAUACAUUGUGAUAGUUUCCACGAAAAGUAAAUAAACAAAGACGUAGUAAGAACAUCUUACUUUAAUGAUUGAACAAUUACUGCCUAGACCAAGUGAGUCAAGGGUAAUCCCUUUUCCGAAAAUCGCCCCGACUCAGAAUCCCUACAAUGACAAGAUUCAGGGGCAUCUUUUCGAUUCAAAGUAGAUUUUAAUCGGGUUCAAGAGGGGGAAAAUAUUAAAAUAUUUUUUCAAUUAAUCAAUGGGUUUUGGAUACUUUUAUGUUAGCAUCCUAAUUCAUUAUUUCUUGUAUUUUUUGUUUUGUAAAUGCACAAAUCAAACUCGCCAAUGCAUACUAUGAAGGAAGACUGAAAAGCCUUAGAAAGAAAACCAAAAGUUAUCUAAAUCAACAUAUCAUAUGUUCUUCAACAAUAAAAAGGUCAUUAAAACAGUGUAAAUAUGGAUACAUUUAAACUGGUUUAUGAUUUGUUAUUUUUGUCAUAUAGAGAUUGCCUGUGACUUUGAUAUUAUCGCCUUAAAAAUCAGCCGUCAACCAUAUUCCUCAUAAUUUAAACAAAAAUUUAACAUAAGCAAGACCAUGAAGAUAACCUCGCUCAGUUGAAUGUCUAACGAUACAUAACAGAACUCACAAUAUAAAUCUAUACAUAAAAGUGCUCCACUCAAUGAUAAACAUAGUAUAAUAGAUACUAGGAGAACAAUAACAAACUAUUCCAUAUCAAAGAGAGCUCAUUGUUUCUGAUAUUUAGCCCAACAUGCUUAUUAUGAAAAUAUUGCAUCCUAUGUUAUAAUUUAGGUGGUUUAAUUUCAUAGUAGACUUAAAACAACACAUUAACAGUACAGGAAUGCACGUACUAUGCCGAAAUAUGAACAAAAUUUGAAAGCAUAUAUGCUAUAAGCGAAAACAAAAAAGGGUUUAUGUGCCGUUAGAAUGCUAUAUCGUAGUCCUUAACCAUUUCAUUAAGGAGUAAGGAGACUAAAACAUAACAAGUUAUUUUGUAAAGUACUUCAUAAAUGCCACGUAAUUAAUUCUAUUAAACAAGUCUGAUCUACAAGGAUAAAAUAUGCUAUUUGCUACUUAUUUACGCCUAGAGACAUUGCGAAACGGCGAGAUUUACUAAUUUUUGUCUCACAUUUUGUAUAUAACCCAUAGGAAUACAGGAACUAGUAUUAAUAAAUAUAAUUAUAUAAAUUAAACAUUACUUCUAAUAUAAUUUGAAAUUAAUUUGAGUUAAAAAGGUUACCAUCACAUCACAUAUCUAGGAGCUGGUAUUAAUAUAUACAUGUAUAUACAAUUAUAUAAAUUAUACAUAAUUUUCUAAUAUAAUUUGCUAUUAAUUUGUUCAUUUUGAAAGGUUACCGCCAUAAUUCAUAUUGUCUUUUUUUUAUUUUGAGUGCCAAGUACAUGCAUAAACUAAGAAAGAAAAAAAAAAACAUCUUUAUUGAUAGUUUCUGUUUAUUUUUUUCACAAUUUAUAACGUCCAUGAUGAUUUAGAGAUUGAAAUAAUGUUAAAACUUCGUUUUUGUGAGAUAUAUUUGACGCGAAGAGUGCGUCAUGGUUUGUGUUUAAUGACCAAUACUAAGGUAGAUAGCGUCAAUUUCCCCUUAAUUGACGCUGUUUAAUUUCCAAAAGUCUUAGAUUCUUUAUAAAUAACUAAUGGAAGAUUUUCAAAUAGAGAAAAAUAUUCAAUGAGUGACCGAACAACACAUUUGUUCACGAAUGCACGUAGCGGAUGACUUAAAUUAUUAGUGUUGUUCUGUCACGAGUUGAAUAUUUUCGAUAUUUAGUUAUUCUCUUUAUUAUUACAUUGUAAGGAACUAUAUCUUUUUCUGUGCUUUUGCAAUUUGAUCCGACGUAAUCGACGUCUUGACAGCGCUUAUUUCUGUAUGACGCUAGAGGAGUGAAUUAACCACGUUUAUUUCACCUGUGAGAUUAUCGUUUAUCACUGGAAAAUCUAUGUAAUUUAUUGCCACCAUUAUAAAUUCGUCAAAUGACUAAUACAGCAAUUUUGAUGAUAUUGGCAAAUUUAAGUACUAGUAAACCUAAUUGUUGACGAAAUGUAGCCGUAGCCUGACUAUGUCUUACAUUACCGAAUACGUCGUAGGCAUAAUUUCUUAGUCUCUUUAAAUUAAAAUAAAUAUCAAAGCAACACAUUUUAUAUAGAUUGAAACACUUUGAAAUAUGACUAGCCUACCUUUUUCGUCUGUAUCGGAGUUAAUUUUAAGUAGAAAUAUAUUGCAAGUACCAAUUAAUACAUUUGUAUUUAUCCAAGGUACCGGACUUAUAAUUUGAUACGGCAGAAUCACAAUUCGUCUACAUAACACUCAUCAGAGUCACUCAAAUCAAAAUAGUUUAAAGUCAAACAAGUACAAAGUUGAAUAGAUGAUAACAAACGGUAUUUCAAUACAAUCAAUGUAAAUGUUUUACGAUUCAUCAGACUAAAGUUUUUAUAAAAAAAAAUUAUAUCACAAAAAAAAGUAAAAUAACAAAUAUAAUUUACUCCGAGGAACAUUCAAAACGAAAAGUCUUCAAUCAAAUGGCAAAAUCAAAAUUUCAAACACAUCAAAUGAAUGGACAACAACUGUCAUAUUCCUGACUUGAUACAAUCAUUUUUUUAUGUAGAAAAUGGUGGAUUAAACCUGAUUUUAUAGCUAGCUACACCUCUCACUUGUUUAACAGUUGAACAAAUUCCAUUAUGUUGACAACGAUGUGUGACCAAAACAAACAGACAUGUCACCAGUAGGGGUACAACAGUAUACGGGGUAUAUAUCUCCCAAUUGAUACGAUAUUCCCGUGCUUGCAUUUCAUAUCAUGAUUUUCUUGAUAGAGGUUUGCUGCUCACAAGGAAGCUAUUAAACCAAGAGUUCCAAAUGGUAAAGUUGAAAUCAUCCCUUCGUAAAUUUUACGGACGCCAUCACGAGUUGGUUGACCGUUAUGGAAUAACCGUUUCACAAAUGAUAUCGGAUAUGUUCCUUACGUCGUAACUACAAUCCCCUUCCCUUUCAUGAAUAUGACCUACCGAAUUAGACUAUUUACCGGAUUUGUAAUCACUUAAGCAACACGACGGGUGCCACAUGUGGAGCAGGAUCUGCUUACCCUUCCGGAGCACCUGAGAUCACCCCUAGUUUUUGGUGGGGUUCGUGUUGUUUAUUCUUUAGUUUUCUAUGUUGUGUCGUGUGUACUAUUGUUUUUCUGUUUGUCUUUUUUAUUUUUGGCCAUGGCGUUGUCAGUUUGUUUUAGAUUUAUGAGUUUGACUGUCCCUUUGGUAUCUUUCGUCCCUCUUUCAACAUUGUUAGGUUGCUGCCACUAAAUUGGUAAUUUUAAGGACAUUUUACAGGUUUUAUUUUUUCUUGAAUAUUAUUAUUGAUAAAUAUGAACUGUAAACAGUUAACAUGUUCAGCAAAGUAAGCUCUACAAAUAACUUAUUUCGACCGACAUUGGCAAUUGACCCCUUAAUGAGUUAUUGGACUAUAAGGACAAUUAUACACAAUUUGUUUAUCAUGUUUUCUAAUUUUAAAAAUCUUCUCCUUUGAAUCUACUGAACCAAAUUAAACCAAACUUAAGCUGCAUGAUUCUUAGUUUAUCUAAAAUAAAGAUUGUGUUUUAUCUUCUGAUACCUCAGAAUACAUGGUCACCAUGGGUAAGAAUAGAAUAUAGGGUAAAAUGCAUUUUUUAACUCUUAUCUCAAAAAAGCAUUUAGAGCAAAUCAAACAAGGAGUAAAAGUAUUAAUUAGAUCAAGGUCUACCUGCCCUGAAAUUAUCAGUCAAAUCGAGUAUCUCCUUUUCUGGUCUUUGCCUCUUGAAUUGGUGAUUUUAAGACAUUUUUGCAGUUUUCAGUUAUUAUCUUGAAUAUUGUAAUAGAUGAAGACAAACUAAACAUAAACAGCAAAACUGUUCAACAAAAUAAAAAUAAACAAUUAUCAAGGCUUAUAAUUUGAUACGCAAGACGCGCGUUUCGUCUUCAUUUUGACUCAUCAGUGACGCUCAUAUCAAAAUACUUAGAAAGCCAAAACAGUACAUACUUGAAGAGCAUUGAGGAACCAAAAUUUAAAAAAUAAAUUGCCAAAUACGGCUAAGGUUAUAUUUGCCUACGAUAAGAAACUAUUCGGAAAAAAACAUUUGAAAUCCAGGAUUUUCCUAAAGAGAAAUCAUGUUGAUUGCCCGACUAACAGUCAAGUAUCAGUAAAAGGAUUAAUAACCUAAGAAAACUUAUUUCAUACUAGUAUAUAAUUUCAAUACCAGCAAUUCUGUCAAAAAGAACAUUUCAGUGAGCUGGACACAUUGGAUAAUUACCAUACAAGGAUGCCUUCCGUCAUAUUUUGUUUCAUUAAUUUGUUUUUAUUGAUUUAGUUAAUAGAUCUACUAUAACCUAACAUGCAUUUCAAAUAGGUUUUAAAUGCAAAAUUAGCCCCUUCAUUCUUACCCUAAUAUCGUUUGAAAUAAUAUUGAGAUGUCCUGAUAAUGAUACAAUAACUACAACCUCGAAAGUAUAAUCAAUAAGAGAUAUUUAUUAUUACAGCGUUAAAUAGUUUAGCAUACACAUCACCUUGAAGUGAUAUUUUGUAAUAUCAAUAAACUCAUCAUAGAUACCAGGAUUAAAUUUUGUAUUUACGCCUGAAUCGCGUUUCGUCUACAAAAGACUCAUCAGUAACGCUCGAAUUCAAAAAAGUUAAAAAGGCCAAAUAAAGUACGAAGUUGAAGAGCAUUGAAGACCAAAAUUCCUAAAAGUAUUGCCAAAUACAGAUAAGGUAAUCUAUUCCAUGAUGUAGAAAACCGAAGUAUUUCAAAUUUUCAAAAGUUUUAAAACAGUUGAUUUAUAAGUAUGACCAUACCAAUGGUAAUUCAUGUCAGGACAGAAGUGCAGUUAUACAAUUGUAUUUUAUAAUAAUUUCAAAUAUUACCCUAUAUCUAUUAAAGAACGAAAGUAACACUUUAAAAUAUAUAUUAUUAAACACGAUUGCUUUAAUUUAUUCUUUUUCUUUCAUGUUUUACAUUUUUUAUCAUCUCGAAAUACGUCUGUCAUGACUAGAACACUAUGCUUAAUGGAAACAGCAUUGGAAAAUAAAUGAUGCAUUAGCACAUAAAACGAUGCAGGAUACCAUUAUAUAUUUUUGUUAUUGUCUACUUUUUGUACUUUAGUUUUUGAUGCCAAUUUACUUUUCACUUUCGUAGCUGCUACUCACAUAUCGAGUCUGACAAUGAAUAUCAUUUGCGAAAUAUUUUAGACAAUAUCACCAACAGAGUGUUUUUAUGUCUGGAAAAUAUGUAUUAAAUGGAUCUGCAUAUGGAGAGCCACAUUGUUAACAUAUUUCCUAUAGUAAUAUAAAUGAAUAAGAAUUGAAAAAAUAAGACCAUGGCUAUAUCUCUUGAGACGCCUGAUAUGUAAGAUUUAUGAAAUCAGAGUUUUUAAAGUCAUUUCAUUUUGACUUUUAUGUAAAGUGUAGUAUUAAACAUGAGACAAUGAAAACAUGAAGUAUAUAUUCGAAAAGAAAAUGACCGAAUUAAAGAACUUUAGUGAGCGCGCGCACAUACCCCACAUCCCCACAUUGUCAUUGAAGAAAUUAAAUAAGUGUAAGAAAAAAAGUUGAAUCAUAACUUCCUGUCAAUAUGCACAUCUACAUAGUAUGUCCUUAUUAUCUACAAAAUUUGAUGAAAUUCUGUUGUGUGGUUUCAGAGGAGUUGAGUUGACAAACUGUUGCAGAAGAAACACGUUGAAGUAAAUAAGUUCAAAGGGGCGUAAGGUUUCAUGAAAUUCUGUUGUGUAGUUUCAGAGGAGUUGCGCUGACAAACUGUUGCAGCAGCACAUUGAAGCAAAUAAGUUCAAAGGGGCGUAAGAUUUCAUGAAAUUCUGUUGUGUAGUUUCAGAUGAGUUGCGAUGACAAACUGUUGCAGUAGUACAUUGAAGCAAAUAAGUUCAAAGGGGCGUAAGGUUUCAUGAAAUUCUGUUGUGUAGUUUCAGAGGAGUUGCGAUGACAAAUUGUUGCAGAAGUACAUUAAAGUACAAAAGGGGCGUAACUCCUAGAAAAAGAGUCGUAAUUUCCUGUCGAUAUGCACAUCUACAGACCAAAAACUUCGUUGCGUGGGGUAUAAUAAUGCAUAAAAACGAAUAACAGGAAUCUCUAAAAAUACUACUCCGUAUUAAAAUAAUAUCAACAAAGGAUUACUCGGCUGCAAUUAAAGACAAAUAACAUCAAACAAUACAUAGUCCCAAUAGACUGACUAAAUAGAAUUUUUAAUUUACACUUACAGAAGUAUUUGCAAGAAAGGAUAUUCAUUGAAUAUAAAAGAAAGGAAUUUAUAUUUAGGCUUGCGCAGUUAAUACCCAAAGGAGGUAUGAUACUUUGACGAUAUAAAUCGCCCGUAAUGAAUAAGCAUUAAAAAGCAAAAAAAAAAAAAAAACCUCAAUUAUUUUUGAACAUGUCAAAAAGUAUUGAAUUAUAUAUCUGAAGCAACGCCGUUUAUUUCUUCAUGUCAGGUGAAUCCAAGACCAAAUUAAUAAAAGAAAACAUUUCGAUGCAUUUACUAAGUUCAUGGUCAAUUAAAAUUUAUCAACUAAUUAGUCAACAGAAUUUAGAUUUUCUAUAACUACAUUUGAGCUGUUUUAAUUUUAUUUCUAUUCUUUUAAACGACUUUUUUCUUCAAAAAAUCAUAAUCAAAACAAAUUUAACAAGGUACUCGCAUCAUGAAAAUACAGAUAUUGUAUUUUAUCACCUCUCAGGAAUUUUUCUGUCAUACUUGUAUCUACUUUCUAAUGACCCAAGUUAACCAUAAAGAACACGCUAGUCAGCUGGGCGCCUUAGAUAAGUAGCAAUGGGUGCCUUCUGUCAUGUUUCAAAACAAGCCCCUCAUUAUUACCCCAAAAUAUUGAAUUGUCCGAAUACUGUUACAAAAGAUAUUUAAAAUAUAGCGAUGUUUUGUUUUUUUCAGCUUUAGGGAAGAGCAUAAACAUCACCUUGAAGUUCUUUGUUUGAUAUUAGGCGGUUAUUAAAUUGUUAUGUUGUAAUCAAUGCCAAUAUAAUCGUAUCUAAUACAGAUGGGAGGUAUCACUUUAAUAUAUAUAUAUAUAAUUAAACACCAUUGCUUUGAUUUAUUAUUAUUUCUCAUUUUUCUUUCAUGGUAUGCAUUUUUAUAAUUUGAAAAUACGUCCAUCAUUAAUGGAACACUAUGCAUAAAGGCAACAGCAUUAAAUAUAAAUGAUACAUUAACACAUAAAACGAUGUAGGAAAUAAUUACAUAUUUUUGUUUUUGUCUAUUUUUUGUACUUUAGUUUCUGAAGCCAAUUUAUUUUGUUAUCUCGAAGCUAUUACUCGUACAUCGAGUCUGAUCAUGAAUAAAUCAGAAAGAUAUUUGAGAGAGUAACACAUGCAAAGAUUUUUUUAACGAGAAUAUAUUAUACAAGGGAACCCCUUGUGAAUAGUCAACUAGUUAACAUAUUAUCAAUAGUAAUGUUGUCGAAUUUAAAUUGAAAAAAAAACAAAACAAAUUACUAUAAUUCCAUUUAUGAUUUACAGUUAUGUAUAUAUUUGACACCAAAAUCAGGCGUCUUAUCAGUUAGAUUUAUGAAAUCGAAUAUUAAUGAUUGAUUGUCGGGUACACAAAAUGUAUUUUCAAACAUUAGAAUGCAAAAAAUUAAGUAUAUCAUAUUUUAAACAAUAGAAUAAUGCAUAAAAUGAAUAAUAGGAAUCGCCAAAAAUUCGACACAGAGCAGCAAAUCCUGUCAACCACCAAAAACCAAUUUAAAAACAAAAUAAAAAACAUGCAUACAAAUACAACAACAACACCCAAAACGUGGUUAAGAUAACCUGAUAACAUGAAUUAUUGUCGGAACACACUUUGGGUCACAAUAGUGUGCUCUAACUUCCCCUUUGACUAUUCAGACCUAAUAUCGAAAAAUGUAAAUGCAAAGUAAAAAAAAUUCACAUUGCAAUUAUUAACAGGAUGGCCGCUUACUUCAACUAGGCAAGGUCAAUGUGUGAUUGGUUUAGUUUUAUUACGGCAUAACAAUUAAAAGUAGUGUGGAAAAGUUAAACUUUUACGUAUAGCGUUAUAUGUAUAGAUAGCUUGCUAAACACGACUCCUUUUUAACUGUUCGAAAGUUUUUUGUAACUGUUAACAACUAAACUAAAAAAAAAACCAUGGCCUGAUUUGUGGUGAUUAUAAAAAGAAAAUCAACCAACAACAACGGAUAGAACAUGUUUAUUGAGGUUCUUUUUAUGUAAUUUUAAGUAGCAAGCAUAUAGUAAGGACUUUAUGAUUUUGAC